rnacentral:rRNA from 1 species
UGAAUACGAGAUGCUACGGCGUCGAAGCAGUCUAUGUCAUACUUCCAAGAAAAGCUUGCACUGUCAUAAACAAAUAAUGCCUGUACCAUAACCGACACAGGUGGGUAGGUAGAGUAUACUAAGGGGCGCGAGAUAACUCUCUCUAAGGAACUCGGCAAAAUGACUCCGUAACUUCGGGAGAAGGAGUGCCUUAUUUAUAAGGUUGCAAUAACAAGACCCAAGCAACUGUUUAUCAAAAACACAGGUCUCCGCUAAGUCGUAAGACGAUGUAUGGGGGCUGACGCCUGCCCAGUGCCAGAAGGUUAAAGAAGUUGGUUAGCAUUAGCGAAGCUGAUGACUGAAGCCCUGGUGAACGGCGGCCGUAACGAUAACGGUCCUAAGGUAGCGAAAUUCCUUGUCGGGUAAGUUCCGACCCGCACGAAAGGCGUAAUGAUUUGGGUACUGUCUCAGAGAGGGACUCGGUGAAAUAGACUUGUCUGUGAAGAUGCGGACUACCUGCACCUGGACAGAAAGACCCUAUGAAGCUUUACUGUAACCUGAAAUUGAAAUUGGACUUUAUUUGCGCAGUAUAGGUGGGAGGCUUUGAAGAUAUUCUUGCGGGAAUGUUGGAGCCAUCAGUGAGAUACCACUCUUGUAAUGUUAGAUUUCUAACUUUGUAUCAUUAUCUGGUCAAAGAACAGUUUCAGGCGGGCAGUUUGACUGGGGCGGUCGCCUCCUAAACGGUAACGGAGGCGCACAAAGGUUUCCUCUGAACGGGUAGAAAUCGUAUCUAGAGUGUAAAGGCAUAAGGAAGCUUGACUGUGAGACCUACAAGUCGAGCAGGGACGAAAGUCGGUCUUAGUGAUCUGACGGUGCUGAGUGGAAAGGCCGUCACUCAACGGAUAAAAGUUACUCUAGGAUAACAGGCUGAUCUCCCCCAAGAGUUCACAUCGACGGGGAGGUUUGGCACCUCGAUGUCGGCUCAUCGCAUCCUGGGGCGGUAGUACGUCCCAAGGGUUGGGCUGUUCGCCCAUGAAAGCGGUACGCGAGCUGGGUUCAGAACGUCGUGAGACAGUUCGGUCCAUAUCCGGUGUAGGCGUUAGAAUAUUGAGAGGAGCCUUCUCUAGUACGAGAGGACCGAGAAGGACACACCUCUGGUGUACCAGUUAUCGUGCCAACGGUAAACGCUGGGUAGCUAUGUGUGGAGCGGAUAACCGCUGAAAGCAUCUAAGUGGGAAGCCCACCUCAAGAUAAGUAUUCUC